UACGAAGGGGGCUAGCGUUGUUCGGAAUUACUGGGCGUAAAGCGCACGUAGGCGGAUAUUUAAGUUAGGGGUGAAAUCCCAGGGCUCAACCCUGGAACUGCCUUUAAUACUGGGUAUCUCGAGUCCGAGAGAGGUGAGUGGAAAUUCCGAGUGUAGAGGUGAAAUUCGUAAGAUAUUCGGAGGAACACCAGUGGCGAAGGCGGCUCACUGGCUCGGUACUGACGCUGAGGUGGCGAAAGCGUGGGGGGAGCAAACAGG
rnacentral:rRNA from 1 species